GUGCUUGUGGUGUAGCGGUUAUCACAUCCGCCUAACACGCGGAAGGCCCAGGUUCGAUCCCUGGCAGGCACA
rnacentral:tRNA from 1 species